rnacentral:rRNA from 1 species
UACGGAGGGUGCGAGCGUUAAUCGGAAUUACUGGGCGUAAAGCGCACGCAGGCGGCUUGUUAAGCUAGAGGUGAAAGCCCCGCGCUCAAACGUGGGAACUGCCUUUUAAGAACUGGCAGGCUAGAGUCUUGGAGAGGGGAGUGGAAUUCCAGGUGUAGCGGUGAAAUGCGUAGAUAUCUGGAGGAACAUCAGUGGCGAAGGCGGCUCCCUGGCCAAAGACUGACGCUCAUGUGCGAAAGUGUGGGUAGGCGAACAGGAUAGAUACCCGGGUAGUCC